rnacentral:rRNA from 1 species
UGGGGAAUUUUGGACAAUGGGCGAANCCUGAUCCAGCAAUGCCGCGUGUGUGAAGAAGGCCUUCGGGUUGUAAAGCACUUUUGUCCGGAAAGAAAUCCUUGGCUCUAAUACAGUCGGGGGGAUGACGGUACCGGAAGAAUAAGCACCGGCUAACUACGUGCCAGCAGCCGCGGUAAUACGUAGGGUGCAAGCGUUAAUCGGAAUUACUGGGCGUAAAGCGUGCGCAGGCGGUUUGCUAAGACCGAUGUGAAAUCCCCGGGCUCAACCUGGGAACUGCAUUGGUGACUGGCAGGCUAGAGUAUGGCAGAGGGGGGUAGAAUUCCACGUGUAGCAGUGAAAUGCGUAGAGAUGUGGAGGAAUACCGAUGGCGAAGGCAGCCCCC